rnacentral:rRNA from 1 species
CCUACGGGAGGCUGCAGUGGGGAAUAUUGGGCAAUGGACGCAAGUCUGACCCAGCAACGCCGCGUGAAGGAAGAAGGCUUUCGGGUUGUAAACUUCUUUUAAGGGGGAAGAGCAGAAGACGGUACCCCUUGAAUAAGCCACGGCUAACUACGUGCCAGCAGCCGCGGUAAUACGUAGGUGGCAAGCGUUGUCCGGAUUUACUGGGUGUAAAGGGCGUGCAGCCGGAGAGGCAAGUCAGAUGUGAAAUCCGCGGGCUCAACUCGCGAACUGCAGUUGAAACUGCUUCCCUUGAGUAUCGGAGAGGUAAUCGGAAUGCCUAGUGUAGCGGUGAAAUGCGUAGAUAUUAGGAAGAACACCAGUGGCGAAGGCGGAUUGCUGGACGACAACUGACGGUGAGGCGCGAAAGCGUGGGGAGCAAACAGGAUUAGAUACCCGUGUAGUC